rnacentral:tRNA from 1 species
GCGUCGGUGGUGGAAUCGGUAGACACGCUGUCUUGAGGGGGCAGUGGGCAUCGCCCGUGCGAGUUCAAGUCUCGCCCGACGCA